rnacentral:rRNA from 1 species
GAUGAACGCUGGCGGCGUGCUUAACACAUGCAAGUCGAACGGAAAGGCCUCUGCUUGCAGGGGUACUCGAGUGGCGAACGGGUGAGUAACACGUGGGUGAUCUGCCCUGCACUUCGGGAUAAGCCUGGGAAACUGGGUCUAAUACCGGAUAGGACAAUGGUUUGGAUGCUGUUGUGGAAAGUUUUUCGGUGUGGGAUGAGCUCGCGGCCUAUCAGCUUGUUGGUGGGGUAAUGGCCUACCAAGGCGUCGACGGGUAGCCGGCCUGAGAGGGUGUACGGCCACAUUGGGCCUGAGAUACGGCCCAGACUCCUACGGGAGGCAGCAGUGGGGAAUAUUGCACAAUGGGCGCAAGCCUGAUGCAGCGACGCCGCGUGGGGGAUGACGGCCUUCGGGUUGUAAACUCCUUUCGCUAGGGACGAAGCGUUUUUGUGACGGUACCUGGAGAAGAAGCACCGGCUAACUACGUG